rnacentral:lncRNA from 1 species
AAAACUUGUGCUUAGAUGAUGUACUGUUGAUAUUGGGAACUGUUAACAUUGUCUUUCUCUGCAAAAGAGGGAUUUUGGAGCUAUACAAGAACAAUAUAAAUAUAUAAGGGGAAAACCAUUAACACAACAGUUUCACAAAGCUAGAAAGAAACAUGAGCAGUAUGAAAAGACAAGGAAAGAAAGGACCACAAACAAUGCAGGUAAAUUCAACAUUAGAAGAGGUAAUAUCUGCAGCUGAUGGAAUUUCAGAUAAAGAGUUCAGGAUAUACAUGCUUCAGAUGAUCUGGAGUCUCAAGGAAGACAUUAGAGAGCAAAAUCAGACAAUGAAAGAUCACUUUGACAAUGAAUUACCUAAACAAAUCCAAGAAGCAAAAGAUCAACUCUACAGGGAGAUAGAGGAUAUAAAAAACAAACAGAAAUCCUGGAAAUGCAGGAAACAAUAAACCAAAUUAAAAACUCAAAUGAGAGUAUUACCAGCAGAGUAGAACACUUAGAAGAUAGAAUAUCAGACAACAAAGACAAAGUUUUUCAACUUGAAAAGAACAUAGACAGCUCAGUGAUAAUGUUAAGAAAUCAUGAGCAGAACAUCCAAGAAAUAUGGGAUAACAUAAAGAGGCCAAACUUAAGAGUUAUUGGGAUACAAGAGGGUAUAGAGGUCCAAACCAAAGAAAUUAGCAAUCUGUUCAAUGAAAUAAUACUAGAAAACUUCACAGACUUAAAGAAUGAGAAAGAAAUCCAAAUUCUAGAAGCCUACAGGACACUGAAUGUACAAAAUCAUAAGAGAUCCACACCAAGACACAUAAUAAUGAAGAUGCCCAACAUACAGAA